rnacentral:tRNA from 1 species
AGCAGCAUGGCUCAGUGGAAAGAGCAUGGCUUGGAAGCCAGAGGUCAUGGGUUCAAAUCCCAGUUCUGCCA